GCGGGAUGGAGCAGCUCGGUAGCUCGUCGGGCUCAUAACCCGAAGGUCGUAGGUUCAAAUCCUGCUCNAGGUUUGGCACCUCGAUGUCGGC
rnacentral:tRNA from 1 species